CGGGAAAGUCAGCGGCUCCCUAUCUCCUGUGUGGGGUGAAUUUGGGGAGGAUGAGGGGGUGGUGAGCUGGGUCAGCCUAACCUGGUAGAAACAGCUGCAGCCCUUUCCUUCCGCCACCUCACGGGCUGAGUUGGGGAUGGGAACAGAAAGCAGCAUGGUCCCUCUGUGGGGGGGCCUCUGAGCCUCCAGUCUAAGAAGUGAGGAAAAGGAGAACGCCUCAGGCGAGCUAAAUAACCCUAUGCGACCCUGGUGCCGGUUCCAGGGGUUCCAGCCAGAUCCUUGGGGACUCAACAAGAAGCAAGUGCCGUCUAUCUGCUUCCCACCCAGAAGACGCGGCAGUCACGUGUACCCCAGGAGAAGGCAGGGCUUGGACGGAGGAGAGCAGAGGUGGGUUCAGAUGGACACGGCGGGAAGGAUGCGGGAUGCUGGCUGUGAAGAUGCCGUGCGAGACAGGGAGGUCCCAGACAGAGCACUUCUUCAAGAGCAGAUCGACCCUGCUGUGGUCCCCAGCUCCAGGCAGACAGACCUUUGAAUGAGUGACCCACCCACCAACCUCUGAGGGGUGCUUUGGAGACGCCCCCACUCUACAAGUGAGGAAGCAGGAAGACAUCACCGGAGGAAUCAUCUGCUAGUGUGUGGCAGGCCUGGGAUUCAGACUCGAUGCUCUCAUCUCCAGGGCUCAAAGCUGUAAUUGCCACGCUCCCCUGCCUUCCAGGAGAAAUGACAGCGGUUACAGAGGCCGGGCCUUGUGGACAACCACUGGCCCUUGCAAAGCUCUCAGCCGGCGGCCAUCAGCACGGCAAGACGUGUUGGGCUCAGGCCGGCCACUACAUCACCCCGGAUUUUCACUUCACUUCAUGGCUCCAAGCGAGGCUCACCCCAUCCCUCCACAGAGCAGGAAGCCCCCAGAGAGGUGCUGUGUCAUCGACCCAGCUCAGUACCCCUCUCCCCACACGUACCCACUUCCCCACUGCUCCCCUUGCCAGCUCCCAGCCCCCUCCCAGGGGCAGGGGAGCAAAUGGAAUGAUGCCUGUAAUGUGCGUAGGGUAGUGCCUGGUAUAUAAAUGCUGCUCAGAAGGUUGAGGCUAUCAAAGCUAUUGUCAUCGUUCUUAUUCACACUUAUUGUCCGCCCAGGUGGCAAAGACAGAUGGAGAAGGACAAGGUCACAAACUGGGUUCCAGUCCCAGCUCUGUCUCUGCCGGCUGUGUGACUCUGGAGAAGUCACGCCACCUCUCUGCGCCCCAGCAUCCUCACCUGUACAGCGAGAAUAAAAGUCCUCACCUCCAAGCGUUGUUGGAGGGACUGGAUGAGGAAACACGUAUGAAGCUGCCUAGUUACUGGUUGAAAUUAACAACAAACAAGCGAGUGUCUCCCGCUGCCAAGCUGCUCCCCGACUUCUGUGGAACAUGUCACAGCGAACGAUGCAGAUGAAAGCCCCUGGCACGCAGCAGGUGCUCGGGCAGUGUUCGAGCCUGAACAGACAAGCCGCGUGCUGUCUAAGAUGUACUGCUGUUGCACUUUUGCACGCAUAUCUAUGUGGUUCCAUCGAGAGCCUGGCUCACCUUGGCUCACCCACUUGUGCGGCGUUUGUGCUUUUGUUCAGGUGAUCGUUUAGGAAAGGGGCCCAGCUUAUCUCCCAGGUGCGAUGUGGUCCCUCCCAGGCCUUGCCUUGCAGGGGCAGGACCUGCCUGUCAGCAACAGCCCCAAAACAAACCUCAGAGGAGCCCCAGGCAUCCUCCUGGGCUGGGUUUACAAAGCUUGUGGUGUUCUCUUGGCUUGUUUACUUGGUUUAUAAUCUCCCAGCUUCUCUGCCUCCUCUGCCUCCCCUCCCUGUGUGGGAUGGCAUGGGAGAAGGGAGGACGUUUGUCAUCAGCUUGCCUCUGUCCCUGAUCUGCUGGAAUCUUCCCAGAAGGUAGCUGGCCGCCUGUCUGAUAGAAGUUUCCUACUUGAACAGAAGGAGACACUGAGACCAAACAGAACCACAGUUCAUAAGAGGCCAAAGCAGCACACAGACCUGGGGCUUCUGAUCCCAGCCCAGCUCUCUCUGCUCAAUUCCCCAGGACUUCCCUGGUGGUCCCGUGCUUGGGGCUUCGCCUUCCAACGCAGAGGGUGUGGGUUCAGUCCCUGUCGGGGAGCUAGGAUCCUACAUAUCCUGCAGCCUAAAAACCAAGGCCUAAAACAGAGGCA
ensembl:lncRNA